rnacentral:rRNA from 1 species
AUUGAACGCUGGCGGCAGGCCUAACACAUGCAAGUCGAACGGUAACAGGCAGCAGCUUGCUGCUUUGCUGACGAGUGGCGGACGGGUGAGUAAUGUCUGGGAAACUGCCCGAUGGAGGGGGAUAACUACUGGAAACGGUAGCUCAUACCGCAUAACGUCGCAAGACCAAAGAGGGGGACCUUAGGGCCUCUUGCCAUCGGAUGUGCCCAGAUGGGAUUAGCUAGUAGGUGGGGUAACGGCUCACCUAGGCGACGAUCCCUAGCUGGUCUGAGAGGAUGACCAGCCACACUGGAACUGAGACACGGUCCAGACUCCUACGGGAGGCAGCAGUGGGGAAUAUUGCACAAUGGGCGCAAGCCUGAUGCAGCCAUGCCGCGUGUAUGAAGAAGGCCUUCGGGUUGUAAAGUACUUUCAGCGGGAAGGAAGGGAGUAAGGUUAAUACCUUUGCGCAUUGACGUUACCCGCAGAAGAAGCACCGGCUAACUCCGUG